rnacentral:rRNA from 1 species
UCCCUUGGCAUUCAAAACCGAUGAAGGACGUGGCGACUGGCGAAACGCCGUGGGGAGCUGGGAACUAGUUAUGACCUGGAGGUUCCCAGAUGAGGAAUU